UCUAGUUAUAACUAUGGCGUCGUGCUGCUGUUGGGUGUCGUAUCGUUUAUUGCUGGGUCGACCACUGGUGUACCGAUGUCUCCUGGGUAUGGCGGGAACCAAAGCACACUACUGCCGUGCCGUCUUACUAUUUAGCAUCAACUUCCGCUGCUCCAGCUUACUACACUGAGGUUUACAAGUGCUACACCACCAUGGAUCCAGAGUAUUACACCACAGCUCAUGUUGCCCCGACCUACUACGCUGAAUGCCCGAAGUAUUUUUCUUCCCCGAGCUACACUACCAAAGGGUCGAGAACUACGUCGAGGUUCCAAGUACUACAUCACCAAGGCACCGGAGCACAAAAACGGUUGAAUACUACACAGAAGCUAUCAUGGGAAACUAUGGUGUCGUGCUGCUGUGAGUGUUGUAAUCAUGAUGGCUGGAUUGACCACUGGUGUGCCGAUAUCUCCUGGGUAUGGUGGGCAUCAACAACAACAUACGCAACAACCGCUUACUACACUGGGACCUGCAAGUGCCAAACCGCCAAGGCUUCAGAGUAUUACACCACAGUUUAUGUUGGCACGAGCUACUACGCAGAAGCUCCGGAAUAAUUUUCUUCCCCGCUUCACUACCUUCACCCCGCUUCACUACCUUCACCACGCCGCCUCUUUACUAAACAACAACAACAACGUCGUCAACACCUACUUACUAAACGAACGCCUCCAAGUACUACGCCAUAAAGGCUUCGACUACCACACCGAGGGUCAACUUGUUACACCGCCGAAGCGCUCAAGUACUGCACUACAACCUACAUUUCACGAAGACACCGUAGUACUCCAUCACGAAGGCACCGGCACGUUAAACCGAGGCUCCAGUUUACUACACUGUAACCUACGCUGCUCCAAAGUACUACACCGACAAGGCAUCCGAGUAUGACACCACUACUUACGCUACUACCACCUACUACACCCAAGCUCCGAAAGCACUACUCUGCCCCGAGUUACUACACCACUAAGGCAGCCGAAUUUUACACCACAAACUACGAUUCCGCAAUUCGGUCACUUUCAUGGUCAUUGGUCACUGGAAAUUAAUUGUUGAUCUUUGAUGAGAAAAUAAUGUUUUAAUGCUGGUAGUUCUUUUGGAAGACUUUUGGUAGUAGCUUCAAGCCUGUCAACAUUGCGACAGUUGUCUAUUGGUGUUGUAUUUCUUCAAGGCCAGUAUGCUAAGUUGUCAAUUGUUUGUCUAAUGUUUUAGAGGUUUCCACUGCCUUAGUCACUCUGUAUACGGACAUGUUCUUGUUAUUCGACGACGAUGAUGAUUCAAGGGUAAGUUACGAAAGAGACUUGUAACUGGUGAUUUUUCAAAUCUUAUAAAUAAUAGGCAAAUGGCUGACUUUUGUAUGAAUAAAGACUUUGAAGUUA